UUUUAUGAUGAUCAUUUCGUAUAAUAUACGCUGGAAAUUACCGGCUGAGGCUCUCGGGUCUUUGAUUAUAUCUAAUGGCUUUGACUGAUC
rnacentral:snoRNA from 20 species